UGCUAACCAUGCAGUCGACGCUGACGCACCAGCUUGCUGGUGUGGAUGAGUGGCGAACGGGUGAGUAAUACGUGAGUAACCUGCCCUUGACUCUGGGAUAAGCUCGGGAAACUGGGUCUAAUACUGGAUGCUACAUGUCACCGCAGGGUGGUGUGUGGAAAGGGUUUACUGGUCUUGGAUGGGCUCACGGCCUAUCAGCUUGUUGGUGAGGUAAUGGCUCACCAAGGCGACCACGGGUAGCCGGCCUGAGAGGGUGACCGGCCACACUGGGACUGAGACACGGCCCACACUCCUACGGGAGGCAGCAGUGGGGAAUAUUGCACAAUGGGCGAAAGCCUGAUGCAGCGACCCCGCGUGAGGGAUGACGGCCUUCGGGUUGUAAACCUCUUUCAGCAGGGAAGAAGCCACAAGUGACGGUCCCUGCAAAAAAAGCGCCGGCUAACUACGUGCCAGC
rnacentral:rRNA from 1 species